UGGAAGAAAUGGGAAGUCGCCUUGAGGACUUACAGAAGAACGUAAACGACUUAAUGGUGCCAGCUGGGAUUGAAGAUUCUAUUCAAGGACAAAUGGGGCACACGCAUUGAAGGAGUUGGCUUGAAACAGGGCCAGGAUGCUGAUACAGGAGGAGUCGGCUCCCUGGACGACGUUCUCGAAGGCUCAUCACAGGGCCAGGACGCUGAUACAGGAGGGGUCUGUUUGAAGGCACUUGCUGUUCGCUCACCUUGACUUGUUAAUCCACGUUGACUCCAUCUGACUAAAAUGAAAAUCAUUUAUGUGUUUUUACAAACUGAAUUUUUCCUACACAAAAUGUUUUAGCAAUUACAGGAAAUUAAGGCACUUUUAUUGAAAGCUUUGGAUUCCAGUUUAUUUCCCUGUACAUUAAUUGGUAUAUAAAUCAACCACUAUCUCUUUCAAAUUUUUUUCUUAUAGACCUGAAGACAGUAGACCAGAAAAUGUGAUAGCUUUUUGAGUAAAACUCUACAUGAGUUCUUAUUUUUAGUAUUUAAUUUAAAAAUUCACUUUAGUAAAAUAAAAGAUUAAAAGAACAAAGGCAAUACAAUCAGAAUGUAAUUUGGAAGGUGACUAACCACUUACCAAAGAUGGUUAUAAAAUGGCAGAAUGUUUGUAAAUCACAGAAGAAAAGCAUGCACUAUAUUAGGGAAAAUUAAUUUUUCCUGAAUUAAUUUCUAUAUAGAUCUUUUGAAUAAAAUCAUAAGCAGUUUUCUGAUA